CCCUUAGAUGUCCUGGGCCGCACGCGCGUUACACUGAUGCACUCAACGAGUAUAUAACCUUGGCCGAGAGGCCUGGGUAAUCUUGUUAACUUGCAUCGUGAUAGGGAUAGAUUAUUGCAAUUAUUGAUCUUGAACGAGGAAUUCCUAGUAAACGCGAGUCAUCAGCUCGCAUUGAUUACGUCCCUGCCCUUUGUACACACCGCCCGUCGCACCUACCGAUUGAAUGUUUCGGUGAAGAUUCCGGAUAGGACUUUUUUGAUUUAUUUCAAUUUUGUCUUAAAAGCUAUCUAAACCUCAACAUUUAGAGGAAGGUGAAGUCGUAACA
rnacentral:rRNA from 1 species